AGAUUGAACGCUGGCGGCAUGCCUAACACAUGCAAGUCGAACGGCAGCACAGCCGUAGCAAUACGGUGGGUGGCGAGUGGCGGACGGGUGAGUAAUGCAUCGGGAUCUACCUCAACGUGGGGGAUAACGUAGGGAAACUUACGCUAAUACCGCAUACGUCCUACGGGAGAAAGCAGGGGACCUUCGGGCCUUGCGCGGUGAGACGAACCGAUGUUCGAUUAGCUAGUUGGUAAGGUAAUGGCUUACCAAGGCGACGAUCGAUAGCUGGUCUGAGAGGAUGAUCAGCCACACUGGAACUGAGACACGGUCCAGACUCCUACGGGAGGCAGCAGUGGGGAAUAUUGGACAAUGGGCGAAAGCCUGAUGCAGCGACGCCGCGUGAGGGAUGACUGCCUUCGGGUUGUAAACCUCUUUCAGCAGGGACGAAGCGAAAGUGACGGUACCUGCAGAAGAGCACCGGCCAACUACGUGCCAGCAGCCG
rnacentral:rRNA from 1 species